GGCAGAUAUUUACGUCACAACAAGAUCAAAGUGAUUCACGACGGAGCCUUCCAACACCUGGAUAAGCUGUUAGACCUAGAGCUCAACUACAACAGAAUCGAGCACCUCCACGCCAGCACCUUCAAGGGCCUCAUAUCUCUGGUCAACCUGAAUUUGGAGGGCAAUCCGCUGGUCGUGGUAGCGGCACUUACCCUCAUACAACUUCCAAAUGGACUCUCUG